rnacentral:rRNA from 1 species
CAGUAGCCGCGGUAAUACGAAGGGUGCAAGCGUUAAUCGGAAUUACUAGGCGUAAAGCGUGCGUAGGCGGUGAGUUAAGUCUGCUGUGAAAUCCCCGGGCUCAACCUGGGAAUGGCAGUGGAUACUGGCUCGCUAGAGUGUGUCAGAGGAUGGUGGAAUUCCCGGUGUAGCGGUGAAAUGCGUAGAGAUCGGGAGGAACAUCAGUGGCGAAGGCGGCCAUCUGGGACAACACUGACGCUGAGGCACGAAAGCGUGGGGAGCAAACAGGAUUAGAGACCCCCGUAGUCCCUGUCUCUUAUAC